UUGGAGGGCAAGUCUGGUGCCAGCAGCCGCGGUAAUUCCAGCUCCAAUAGCGUAUAUUAAAGUUGUUGCAGUUAAAAAGCUCGUAGUUGAAUUUCGGGGUUCAUACGUUGGUCGGGCUAUUUGGUCUGUACUUAUGUAAUGGAUUCCUACCUUCUGAAUAACCGGCAUGCCAUUAAUUUGGUGCGCCGGGGAAGCAGGACUGUUACCUUGAAAAAAUUAGAGUGCUUAAAGCAGGCUAUCGCCUGAAUACAUUAGCAUGGAAUAAUGAAAUAGGACGGCAUGGUUCUAUUUUGUUGGUUUCUAGGAUCACCGUAAUGAUUAAUAGGGAUAGUUGGGGGCAUUAGUAUUCAAUUGUCAGAGGUGAAAUUCUUGGAUUUAUUGAAGACUAACUUCUGCGAAAGCAUUUGCCAAGGAUGUUUUCAUUAAUCAAGAACGAAAGUUAGGGGAUCGAAGACGAUCAGAUACCGUCGUAGUCUUAACCAUAAACUAUGCCGACUAGGGAUCGGAUGAUGUUAAUUUUUUAAUGACUCAUUCGGCGCCUUACGGGAAAC
rnacentral:rRNA from 1 species